UGGGGAAUAUUGCGCAAUGGGCGAAAGCCUGACGCAGCAACGCCGCGUGAAGGAUGAAGUAUUUCGGUAUGUAAACUUCGUAAGAAUAGGAAGAAUAAAUGACGGUACUAUUUGUAAGGUCCGGCUAACUACGUGCCAGCAGCCGCGGUAAUACGUAGGGACCAAGCGUUGUUCGGAUUUACUGGGCGUAAAGGGCGCGUAGGCGGUGUGUCAAGUCAGUUGUGAAAUCUCCGAGCUUAACUCGGAACGGUCAACUGAUACUGUCACACUAGAGUACAGAAGGGGCAAUCGGAAUUCUUGGUGUAGCGGUGAAAUGCGUAGAUAUCAAGAGGAACACCUGAGGCGAAGGCGGGUUGCUGGGCUGAUACUGACGCUGAGGCGCGAAAGCCAGGGGAGCAAACGGGAUUAGAUACCCCCGUAGUCCCUGAGCGGGCUGGCAAGGCGCAU
rnacentral:rRNA from 1 species